AAAACAAAUAUUAUUCGCACUCAUAUAAGUUUAGUAAUAAGGACUAAACGUCUCUACCAGUUAACCGUAAAUUGUCUGACUAUGGGUGUUUAUAUUUAAGUU
rnacentral:ncRNA from 2 species